GACUUCCCCAUCUGAGCAGCAGCCCGAAAGGAUGGCGUAGAUGCUGGAUCCUUUUGUUCCAAAUGUUCUAUACACACCUUCACACUGGAACCAAUGCAAGACAGAAAGCCAGCAACAGUCUGGAACACAGCCAAGGAACGCAGGGAUUUCCCCGAUCUCCGUAAUAUUUGUUCAAGCCUAGUUCACCUACACGUACAAGAGACUUCAAGAAACCACAGCCAAAGGAAACAAGUAUCUUCUAAGAUUGAUCCAAGAUAUCUCGGGCUUUUGUUCUGGGAGCAUUCGCCGCCGAUGGAUGUCUUGGAUGUCUGGGAUCUCUACUCCGCAAUUAUAGGAAAAACAUCUGCCAGGACAAUUCACUCGUCAAAUUCAUUAUACAAAUGUACAACUUUCGGGACGGAGGCGGAAGAUGGCUGCAAUAAAUAAUACCGUAUGGGGAAAUCUA